rnacentral:rRNA from 1 species
GCCAGCCCGCUCAGAAACUUAAAGGAAUUGACGGGGGCCCGGCACAAGCGGUGGAGUAUGUGGUUUAAUUCGAUGCAACGCGAAGAACCUUACCUGGUCUUGACAUCCCGGAGACCCUUAGGAAACUAGGGGGUGCUUCCAUCUGGAAGAAUCUGGAGACAGGUGCUGCAUGGCUGUCGUCAGCUCGUGUCGUGAGAUGUUGGGUUAAGUCCCGCAACGAGCGCAACCCUUGCCUUUAGUUGCCAGCAGUUCGGCUGGGCACUCUAAAGGGACUGCCGGUGUUAAACCGGAGGAAGGUGGGGAUGACGUCAAGUCCUCAUGGCCUUUAUGACCAGGGCUACACACGUACUACAAUGGCCGGUACAAAGGGCAGCGACACUGCGAGGUGAAGCCAAUCCCGUAAAAUCGGUCUCAGUCCGGAUUGGAGUCUGCAACUCGACUCCAUGAAGUUGGAAUCGCUAGUAAUCGUGGAUCAGCAUGCCACGGUGAAUACGUUCCCGGGCCUU